CACCAGACUCCUACGGGAGGCAGCAGUGGGGAAUAUUGGGCAAUGGGCGCAAGCCUGACCCAGCAACGCCGCGUGAAGGAAGAAGGCCCUCGGGUUGUAAACUUCUUUUAUCAAGGACGAAACAAAUGACGGUACUUGAUGAAUAAGCCACGGCUAACUACGUGCCAGCAGCCGCGGUAAUACGUAGGGGGCAAGCGUUAUCCGGAUUUACUGGGUGUAAAGGGAGCGCAGGCGGCACGGCAAGCCUGAUGUGAAAGCCCGCGGCCCAACCGCGGGACUGCAUUGGGAACUACCGGGCUGGAGUGCCGGAGAGGUAGGCGGAAUUCCUAGUGUAGCGGUGAAAUGCGUAGAUAUUAGGAGGAACACCAGUGGCGAAGGCGGCCUACUGGACGGUGACUGACGCUGAGGCUCGAAAGCGUGGGGAGCAAACAGGAUUAGAUACCCUGGUA
rnacentral:rRNA from 1 species